AGUAACGAAUUAUCGAGAAGCACACUGACGAGAAAAGCUUGUAGAUAUUGUAUAUAAAUACCCGUACCGCAAACCGACACAGGUAGAUGAGGAGAGGAUCCUAAGACGAGCGGGAGAAGCAUUGUUAAGGAACUCGGCAAAUUAACCCCGUAACUUCGGGAGAAGGGGUGCCAAGGUAACACUUGGCCGCAGUGAAGAGGUUCAAGCAACUGUUUAACAAAAACACAGGUUUCUGCUAAAUCGAAAGAUGAAGUAUAGGAGCUGACGCCUGCCCAGUGCUGGAAGGUCAAAGGGGAGUGUUAGUAUUAACUACGAAGCACAGAACUCAAGCCCCAGUGAACGGCGGCCGUAACAAUAACGGUCCUAAGGUAGCGAAAUUCCUUGUCAGGUAAGUUCUGACCCGCACGAAAGGCGUAAUGAUUUGAACACUGUCUCGACAAUGUACCCGGCGAAAUUGUAGUACUAGUGAAGAUGCUAGUUACCUGCGACAAGACAGAAAGACCCCAUGGAGCUUUACUGCAGCUUGAUACUGGGUUUUGGUAAUUUAUGUACAGGAUAGGUGGGAUACAUUGAAGCAAGGGCGCCAGCUUUUGUGGAGUAGACGUUGGGAUACCACUCUUAAAUUAUUGAAAUUCUAACCUGUGAUCAUGAACUGGUCAGGGGACAAUGUCAGGCGGGCAGUUUGACUGGGGCGGUCGCCUCCUAAAGAGUAACGGAGGCGCCCAAAGGUUUCCUCAGCACGGACAGAAAUCGUGCAUAAGAGUGUAAAGGCAGAAGGAAGCUUAACUGGGAGACUGACAAGUCGAGCAGAUACGAAAGUAGGGCUUAGUGAUCCGGCGGUAGUGAGUGGAAAUGCCGUCGCUCAACGGACAAAAGUUACCCUGGGGAUAACAGGCUUAUCUCCCCCAAGAGUUCACAUCGACGGGGAGGUUUGGCACCUCGAUGUCGGCUCAUCGCAUCCUGGAGCGGAAGUACGUUCCAAGGGUUGGGCUGUUCGCCCAUUAAAGCGGUACGCGAGCUGGGUUCAGAACGUCGUGAGACAGUUCGGUCCUUAUCUGUCGCAGGCGUAGGAUAUUUGAAGGGAGCUGUCCUUAGUACGAGAGGACCAGGAUGGACAUACCGAUGGUGUAUCAGUUGUCACACCAGUGGCACGGCUGAGUAGCUAAGUAUGGAAGGGAUAAACGCUGAAAGCAUCUAAGUGUGAAGCCCACCUUAAGAUAAGAUAUCCCAUUGCACAAGCAAGUAAGAUCCCAUGAAGACUACAUGGUAGAUAGGUUGGGGGUGUAAGUACAGUAAUGUAUUAAGCUGACCAAUACUAAUAGAUCGAGGGCUUAAC
rnacentral:rRNA from 1 species